rnacentral:rRNA from 1 species
CACGGGGGGAGCAAGCGUUGUUCGGAAUCACUGGGCGUAAAGGGCGUGUAGGCGGUCAGGUAAGUGGGAUGUGAAAUGCCCCGGCUCACCCGGGGACCGGCAUCCCAUACUGCUUGGCUUGAGUACGGGAGAGGAUGUGGGAAUUCCUGGUGUAGCGGUGAAAUGCGUAGAUAUCAGGAGGAACACCGGUGGCGAAGGCGCACAUCUGGCCCGAUACUGACGCUGAGGCGCGAAAGCUAGGGGAGCAAACAGG